rnacentral:rRNA from 1 species
GACGAACGCUGGCGGCGUGCUUAACACAUGCAAGUCGAACGAGUGGCGGACGGGUGAGUAAUGUCUGGGAAACUGCCCGAUGGAGGGGGAUAACUACUGGAAACGGUAGCUAAUACCGCAUACCAUCGGAUGUGCCCAGAUGUGAUUAGCUAGUGGGUGGGGUAACGGCUCACCUAGGCGACGAUCACUAGCUGGUCUGAGAGGCUGACCAGGCACACUGGAACUGAGGCACGGUCCAGAGUCCGACGGGAGGCAGAAGUGGGGAAUAGUGGAGAAUGGGGGCAAGCCUGAUGCAGCAAUGCCGCGUGGAUGACGAAGGCAUUCGGGGUGUAAAGAAAUGUCCGCGAGGAGGCGGUACUCGCAGAAGAAGCAACGGCUAACUCCGUGCCAGCAGCCGCGGUAAUAC